rnacentral:lncRNA from 1 species
CAUAUUAAUUUGUAGUUUGUAUAUUAAAUAACACCUUGUUGCGUACCGUCCUAUGGUUUUAAUAAAUGUGUUGUCAUUUCUUUUUUAUUACUACUAACAUAAAUUUUUAGUGAUCAGUGAUAAUUUAUUUUUAACGUUCAGAAUUAUAUUUGAUCGUAUAUUUUCUAACUCUUCAUGCUUACACUUUUUUCGAAUCAUUUUAAUUAGAUAAUAGGAUUAAAGAUGUAAAUAAAACUGUGUAUGUUCUAAAUUUAGACUUUUUAGUGUAACUGAGCACUAUCAAUUAUGGAAAUUAUAUUAUGAUUUUAUUUCACUAAAUCUUUCUUUAUGUGUAUAUUUUUUGUUUUAUUUUGUGUGUUUUACAAUUUUAUUGCAUUAUUCUUUAAUUGGAGAGAAUUGGUACUUCCAAUUUUUGUUUCAUAUACCUUAAAAGUCUUCGGUUGAUUUUUGUUUGUUUUCUUUCUCCAAUUACAAUGUACAGUGCGACAAUUUCUUUUUUUUUUUGGAUCAAACUACUAAUAGAAAAGUUUAAACUCCAAGAAUGAAGUGAGUAUUUGUGCUAGAGAAGACUGAUUUAGCCACUAAUGUAGUGAAAUAUUAUAAUAUUAAAAGGUAUGGAAACUCUUCUCAGUUGUCUUAUGCUGGACAUAAUUAAGUUGUUGUCAAUUGAUUAUAUAUUUAUGAUAACUGGAAAUACAUUUUUAUUUCUCCCUUACAUUAUCUUUAAUUGGUUUACGGUUCGACCAUUUCUAAUAUACUGAGAGUAACAUAAUAUUAGAUGUAGAUUAUCUCCUUCCAAUUAGGAAUGCACAGAAUUAGAGAAAUUCAAAGUGAGACCACUUUAAAUCCUC